rnacentral:lncRNA from 1 species
AGAUGUUAUUAUUGCUUCCCUUACCCUGGCUCUAGUUCCAGCCCGGGGCCUGCCCACAGAAACCAGCUGUUCCUGUUUCCUCUGUGUCCCGCGGUAGCACCGAGGAGGCUGGUGCACUGGGCUCCGUGGUUCCCGCCCGGGCCCGCCGCAGCCGGCUCUGAGGAAGCGGCUCUGAGGAAGCAGCGCACCGCCAGCCUCGUCCUCGCGCCGGCGACCCUGGGGCGGGUCACCUCGCCGGGUCGAGGCCUCCCGGGCAGGCCUGGCGGAGGGAGGAGCGAGGCCUGCCUGCGGGAGACCCGGGGAGGCGCGUCAUGUGCAAACUGGGGAUUUCACUAUGUUGUUCAUUACCACUUUCCAAGGCUUAGACCAAGGCCUGAUACAUAGAAAAUACUCAAAAAUAUUUGUUGAUUGAAUAAAUGACCAAAUGAGCUUAGGCUUCUUGAUUCUAGGCCAGUGCCCCUUCCUUCAUUAGCCCAGUAUGAUAUAGGUGUGUGACAUACUUGGGAGACGGAAAACAGAAAGGUCGCCUCCAAAGGCUAGUAGAAUCAGGA